GGGGGCCCGCAAGCGGGGGAACAUGGGGGUCAAUUCCACGCAACGCGGAAAAACUUACCUGGGCUCGAACGGCUCACGAAAUUCCUUGAAAACAGGGAUUUCCCGCAAGGGACGGGAGUCGAGGUGCUGCAUGGCUGUCGUCAGCUCGUGUCGUGAGAUGUUGGGUUAAGUCCCGCAACGAGCGCAACCCUUGUCCUGUGUUACCAUGCCGAAAGGCGGCACUCGCAGGAGACCGCCAGCGAUAAGCUGGAGGAAGGUGGGGAUGACGUCAAGUCCUCAUGGCCUUUAUGUACAGGGCUACACACGUGCUACAAUGGGCGGUACAAAGCGCUGCUAACCCCCAAGGAGGAGCCAAACGCAAAAAGCCGCUCUCAAUUCGGGAUUGGAAGCUGGCACUUCCCCUGAAUGAAGCUGGAAUCGCUUAGUAAUGCUAUAUCAAAACUGAUCGCGGUGAAUUACGUUCCCGGGCCUUGGUACACACC
rnacentral:rRNA from 1 species